rnacentral:rRNA from 1 species
CCCUAGUAACUGCGAGUGAAGCGGGAAAAGCUCAAAUUUAAAAUCUGGUGGUCUUAGACUAUCCGAGUUGUAAUCUAGAGAAGUGUUAUCCGUGUUGGACCGUGUACAAGUCUCCUGGAAUGGAGCGUCAUAGAGGGUGAGAAUCCCGUCUUUGACACGGACUACCAAUGCAUUGUGAUGCGCUCUCAAAGAGUCGAGUUGUUUGGGAAUGCAGCUCAAAAUGGGAGGUAAAUUCCUUCUAAAGCUAAAUAUUGGCGAGAGACCGAUAGCGAACAAGUACCGUGAGGGAAAGAUGAAAAGAACUUUGGAAAGAGAGUUAAACAGUACGUGAAAUUGCUGAAAGGGAAACGCUUGAAGUCAGUCGCAUUAUCCAGGAAUCAACCUUGCUUUUGCUGGGUGUACUUUCUGGUUGAUGGGUCAGCAUCAAUUUUGACCGUUGGAUAAAGGUUAGGGGAAUGUGGCAUCUUCGGAUGUGUUAUAGCCUCUGGUCGCAUACAACGGUUGGGAUUGAGGAACUCAGCACGCCGCAAGGCCGAGUAUUUAUACUACGUUCGUGCUUAGGAUGCUGGCAUAAUGGCUUUAAUCGACCCGUCUUGAAACACGGACCAAGGAGUCUAACAUGCCUGCGAGUGUUUGGGUGGAAAACCCGAGCGCGUAAUGAAAGUGAAAGUUGAGAUCCCUGUCGCGGGGAGCAUCGACGCCCGGACUUGACCUUUUGUGACGGAUCCGCGGUAGAGCAUGUAUGUUGGGACCC